rnacentral:rRNA from 1 species
UACGUAGGGGGCGAGCGUUGUCCGGAUUCAUUGGGCGUAAAGCGCUUUAAGGCGGUUCGGUAAGUCGCGUGUGAAACCUCCAGGCUCAACCUGGAGACGCCACGUGAUACUGCCGUGACUAGAGUCCGGUAGGGGACCACGGAAUUCCUGGUGGUAGCGGUGAAAUGACGCAGAGUAUCAGGAGGAACACCGGUGGCGAAGGCGGGUCUCUGGGCCGAUACUGACGCUGAGGAGCGAAAGCGUGGGGAGCGAACAGG